UACGGAGGGUGCAAACGUUGUUCGGAAUCAUUGGGCGUAAAGCGCGCGUAGGCGGCUGUGUAGGUCGGGUGUGAAAGCCCAGGGCUCAACCCUGGAACUGCGCUCGAAACCACACAGCUUGAGUCCCGGAGGGAGAAGUGGAAUUCCAGGUGUAGGGGUGAAAUCCGUAGAUAUCUGGAGGAACACCAGCGGCGAAGGCGACUUCUUGGCCGAGGACUGACGCUGAGGUGCGAAAGUGUGGGGAGCAAACAGG
rnacentral:rRNA from 1 species